CCAAUACGUUUGAUUCAUGAUCGAAAUCGAAAUCAGAAUGGAAAUCGAAAUAAAAAUUUCGAUCCAUUGAGGAGAGUAGGGAUUGAGUUUUAGAUAGAUGGGACCAUUUCCAUUCCAUUCUGAAAUCGAAAUCGAAAUGGGACUCCCCUCAAUCAAGCAAUUGAAAUGGGAGUCACCUAUUCUGAUUCUCAUUUCAGACCUCCAUUCCCUCC
rnacentral:lncRNA from 1 species